rnacentral:rRNA from 1 species
UACGGAGGGUGCAAGCGUUAAUCGGAAUUACUGGGCGUAAAGCGCAUGCAGGCGGUCUGUUAAGUCAGAUGUGAAAUCCCCGGGCUUAACCUGGGAACUGCAUUUGAAACUGGCAGACUGGAGUCCUGGAGAGGGGGGUAGAAUUUCCGGUGUAGCGGUGAAAUGCGUAGAUAUCGGAAGGAAUACCAGUGGCGAAGGCGGCCCCCUGGCCAGAGACUGACGCUCAGAUGCGAAAGCGUGGGGAGCAAACAGGAUUAGAUACCCUGGUAGUCCACGCUGUAAACGAUGUCAACUAGCUGCUUGUGUCUUCGUGACGUGGGUAGCGCAGCUAACGCACUAAGUUGACCGCCUGGGGAGUACGGCCGCAAGGUUAAA